rnacentral:rRNA from 1 species
UACGGAGGGUGCAAGCGUUACUCGGAAUCACUGGGCGUAAAGGGUGCGUAGGCUGGCUUUUAAGUCAGAUGUGAAAUCCAAUGGCUUAACCAUUGAACUGCAUUUGAAACUGAAAGCCUAGAGUUCAGAAGGGGCAGAUGGAAUUAGUGGUGUAGGGGUAAAAUCCGUAGAUAUCACUAGGAAUAUCAAAAGCGAAGGCGAUCUGCUGGGAUGAUACUGACGCUGAGGCACGAAAGCGUGGGGAGCAAAC